GAGCCCUCCAUCUGGAUGCUGAGAUUCUGGUGUCCUGGACGCAGAAAAACAGGUUUCUGAAGCUGAAGAAGAUCCCAAUAUGUACAAUUCAGAAGGUGUCCUUCCAGGACUGGGGUAGUACAGGACCCACCCUGAGUUCAUAUAUUCCUAAAUGCUGAUGUUCAUUGUAUUCUAUCAUUUGGGGCCAGGCCACACUUCAGGCCAAAUCCAUAUUAUGAAGGCCUGGAGAGAAUGGAGGAGGCGGUCAUGUCAAUUCUGCACAACUUAGAGAUGGAGAACACUGAGAUCCAUGAGAACAGCCAGAAGCUGAAGAAGGAGAUGACCUUCUCUAGAAACCUGCUCAGCCAGCUCCUGAUGGAGAACACAUGCAGGAAGAAGUUGGUCCCACGGAAGCAGGGGAGCAAGGAGGGACAUCUUGAUUGUGCACUGAACCAGAAAUAUUUGGUUGACUUCAACAAGAAAGAUAAAGACCAGCAACGUCCAGACCCAGCAUCAUCUGGUCUCAGAAAGUGCAAGAGAGCUGGAAUUGGACACACCCCAGUAAGAGAGCUUCCUGAAGAAUGAGUUGCUUUCUCAGGAGUCCCUGAUGACAAACAUCCUGAAUGAAAACACAACUUGAGAGACAGCUUGGGGGACCGCCUUUCAUUAUGUGUGC
ensembl:lncRNA